rnacentral:rRNA from 1 species
AGGGAAUAUUGCGCAACGGACGGAAGUCUGACGCAGCGACGCCGCGUGAGCGAUGAAGGUCUUCGGAUCGUAAAGCUCUGUCCUUGGGGAAGAAGGGCUUCGGCCUUGACGGUACCCAAGAAGAAAGCCCCGGCUAACUACGUGCCAGCAGCCGCGGUAAUACGUAGGGGGCGAGCGUUGUCCGGAAUUACUGGGCGUAAAGGGUGCGUAGGCGGCCCUUUAAGUCAGAUGUGAAAGGCCACGGCUUAACCGUGGAACUGCAUUUGAAACUGGAGGGCUUGAGUGUCGGAGAGGGUAGUGGAAUUCCCAGUGUAGCGGUGAAAUGCGUAGAUAUUGGGAGGAACACCAGUGGCGAAGGCGACUACCUGGACGAUAACUGACGCUGAGGCACGAAAGCUAGGGGAGCAAAC